UGUUAAAUUUUUAUCCAUUUGUAGUGUUAAAAACUGGCGAGGUUGAUGAAAUAAUCAGACAGAGGUAUGUGAUGUACUAUAUGUAUCUUAUAUUGAUGUACAAGGAUUGAUUUUUAAUAGAAAAAAUGAAUGAAAUUUUUAACA
rfam:Gossypium hirsutum cultivar TM-1 unplaced genomic scaffold scaffold506.1, whole genome shotgun sequence